rnacentral:rRNA from 1 species
GUGCCAGCAGCCGCGGUAAUACGGAGGAUGCAAGCGUUAUCCGGAUUUAUUGGGUUUAAAGGGUGCGUAGGCGGAAUAAUAAGUCAGCGGUGAAAUCCUGUGGCUCAACCAUAGAAUUGCCAUUGAUACUGUUAUUCUUGAGUAUAGUUGAAGUGGGCGGAAUGUGUAAUGUAGCGGUGAAAUGCUUAGAUAUUACACAGAACACCAAUUGCGAAGGCAGCUCACUAAGCUGUUACUGACGCUGAGGCACGAAAGCGUGGGGAGCAAACAGGAUUAGAUACCCUGGUAGUCC